rnacentral:lncRNA from 1 species
GUGAUCGUGGCCUUCACCACAAUGAACACGAGAAACUGCUCAGUCCUGGUGGAAUCCUAUCCUUCUUCGCUUCUCCCCCUGCUGUGCUGUGAAUUUGCCUUCUUCAGCCAUUCACUCAUUCAUCAGCAGGUAUUUCCUGAGCACCUGCCAGGUGUGGUACACGCUGCUGGAGACAUGGAGCAAACAGGCAGGAAUGGCCCAGCCCUGCCCUCGUGGGUUUAUGAUCUCACUGGGAAGCAAAUAAAAUCACAAACCUGAGGGCACAACCAGGAGAAUCGCCAUGAACUCGUGAUGGAUCAGGUUUUGCACCAAAAUGUAAGUCAUUUUUGAGUGUGAAACCAAGAACCCUCUGGGCGACACAGUGCAUUGGUUAGAGCACGAGAUCUGGAUUCAGGUUCUAUUUCUGCUGUUCAUUUCCUGUGUGACCUUGAACAAGUUUCCUCACCUCUCUGAGCUUGGGUUUUCUCAUGUAUACAAUGAUAAGGAAGUCUUCCUCAUACAGUUUUGGAGUUUAAGUAAACUAAUACAGAUCAAGUCAUUGAUGAAAGAGUGUGCUACCAUUUAUGGUGCUCUCCAUCAUGUACCAAGCAUUGCGCUAAGUGAUUUACCUAAGAUCAAGUUCAAGCCACUGUUAUAUCUCACUUGGGCCACUGCGAAAGUCUCUUGACCUGUCUCUCUGGCCUGGUCUUGUCCCUCCAGUUCAUCAUGCACAGAGAAGCCAAGGCGAUCUUGUAAAAAUUCCACAGACAUCGUUAGUGUCCAGAUUAUAAUGUCUCUAAGAACAUUUCCCACUGAAAGGAACCAGGACUCCUUGGAGAAAUGUCUGAUUCUAGGGCUGGGGCAGAAAUGUACAUGAUGAGCUGAGAUAUCUUCUUGCCUGAAAACAAGGACCCUCCAGGGGCAUGGGCUACCAAAGAGAGGCUGCAAACGGAUGAUGACUGCAGUGGAUUGAAACACAUCAAAAUAUCUUUAAAAACCAUAAGGUCGUAACACCCCUCAAAACAAAAACAACUCGUUGAUACUUUUCAUGGCUGCUAGGGCUACUCAUUACUCUGAAAAUAGACUUAGCCCCGCCCACACACAAAAAAAGGACAUAAUCAACCAUGUACUCUGCCUUUCAGGGACUGUAUUUCAGGGUAAGCAAAUGCUUGAGGAAAGUCGUGUGGUAGAGAACAAUGAGAGUUGGGCCGGGCACAGUGGCUCAUGCCUGUAAUGCCAGCUCUUUGGAAGGCCAAGGCGGGAGUAUCGUUUGAGCUCAGGUUUGAGACCAGCCUGGGCAAUGUAGUGAAACCUCAUCUCUAUCAAAAAUACAUAAAAUUAGCCAGGCAUGGUGGCGAGCGCCUGUGGUCCCAGCUACUCAAGAGGCUGAGGCAGGAGGAUCGCUUGAACCUGACAAGUUGAGGUUGCAGUGAGCCAAGAUUGUGCCACUGCACUCUAGCCUGGAUGACAGAGAGAGACCCUGUCUCAAAACAAACAAACAAAACCAGAAACAACAACAACAACAACAAAAAACAACAAGAGCUAAUAAGCACAGAAAGAUUGACGGAAGUAGAAAAUCACUAUAGUAACGAAACAAUAAUCUGGGCUUUGCUCAUCAGCAGGCAGUAAAGUCAUUCGGCAAGAGGGUGAUAGGGAACUUUACGACGGAGGUCAGACUGAUACCCUAAACUCACUAAUGAACAAAAAUCACUAAAAGUGGGGUAACUGAACUUUAUGUUCUUGACGUGAUGCAAGAGAAAACAGAAAAACACCUUCAAAGUAUUCCUGCUAAGGAUCUG